rnacentral:rRNA from 1 species
UUCUUUUAGAUAUUAUUAAAAGUAUACCCUGCCCAAUGAAUUCUUAAAUGGCCGCGGUAUCCUAACCGUGCAAAGGUAGCAUAAUAACUUGUCUAUUAAUUGUAGGCUAGAAUGAAGGGGUAAACGAAAUAAAUACUGUCUCUUAUAUACAAAUAUAAACUAUCCUUCAAGUGAAGAGACUUGAAUAAAAUUAAAAGACAAGAAGACCCUAUAGAGCUUUAUUCUAAAUAUAAACUUAUUAUAUUAAAAUUUGGUUGGGGCGACCUAGGAACACUUAACAUCCUAAUAUACUUAAGACCUAUCAGUCUUCUAUAGAUCCAUUUAAUGAUCAAUAAAUUAAGUUACCUUAGGGAUAACAGGCUAAUAUUUUUCUAGAGUCCUUAUCAACAAAAAUGUUUGGCACCUCGAUGUUGGCUUAGGGAUCCUUUAUGGUGCAGAAGUCAUAUAAGGAGGUUUGUUCAACCUAUAAAACCCU